UACGAAGGGGGCUAGCGUUGCUCGGAAUCACUGGGCGUAAAGCGCACGUAGGCGGAUUGUUAAGUCAGGGGUGAAAUCCUGGAGCUCAACGUCCAGAACUGCCUUUGAUACUGGCGAUCUCGAGUCCGGGAGAGGUGAGUGGAACUGCGAGUGUAGAGGUGAAAUUCGUAGAUAUUCGCAAGAACACCAGUGGCGAAGGCGGCUCACUGGCCCGGUACUGACGCUGACGGUGCGAAAGCGUGGGGAGCAA
rnacentral:rRNA from 1 species